rnacentral:rRNA from 1 species
UACGUAGGUGACAAGCGUUGUCCGGAUUUACUGGGCGUAAAGAGCGCGCAGGCGGUCGUUCAAGUCGAGUGUGAAAGCCCCCGGCUCAACUGGGGAGGGUCAUUCGAUACUGAUCGACUCGAAGGCAGGAGAGGGAAGUGGAAUUCCCGGUGUAGCGGUGAAAUGCGCAGAUAUCGGGAGGAACACCAAUGGCGAAGGCAGCUCGCUGGGACGGUACUGACGCUGAGACGCGAAAGCGUGGGGAGCAAACAGG